UGAGUAACACGUAGGGAACCUGCCCCUAAGACGAGGAUAACUACUGGAAACGGUAGCUAAUACUGGAUAGGAUAAGUUGACGCAUGUUGGCUUAUUUAAAGGUGCCUAUAAAGCACCGCUUAGGGAUGGCCCUGCGGCGCAUUAGCUAGUUGGUGGGGUAACGGCCUACCAAGGCGACGAUGCGUAGCUGUGCUGAGAGGCAGAACAGCCACACUGGGACUGAGACACGGCCCAGACUCCUACGGGAGGCAGCAGUAGGGAAUUUUCGGCAAUGGGGGGAACCCUGACCGAGCGAUGCCGCGUGAGUGAUGAAGGUCUUCGGACUGUAAAACUCUGUUAUUAGGGAAGAAUACUAUAGGGAGGAAAUGCCUUAUAGAUGACGGUACCUAAUGAGGAAGCCCCGGCCAACUAUGUGCCAGCAGCCGCGGUAAUACAUAGGGGGCGAGCGUUAUCCGGAAUUACUGGGCGUAAAGGGUGCGUAGGCGGUUUCUUAAGUCUAGUGUGAA
rnacentral:rRNA from 1 species